rnacentral:snRNA from 1 species
GUUCGCUUCGGCAGCACAUACAGUAUACUAAAAUUGGAACAAUACAGAGAAGAUUAGCCUGGCCCCUGUGCAAAGAGGACAUGCAAAUCAGUUUGCUUCAUAUAAUAUAU